AAAUGAAAUGCCCAGCCUGCCCUGCUAAAGCUGCAGUUUGCAGUGGAUCGUGGGGUGCCAUGGAAGCAACAGCAAUUUCUUCUUCUUUAAAGCUGUUAAUAACAUUUCCUGCAAACAAGAAAGCUCUAAUUACUACUAGGAAGAAGAGAGAUACAAUCCAAUUCUCCGAUCAGUUUCCAAAUUCAAAAUCAAGUACCGGACACUAUCCUUCUCCUACUGGGAUUACAAUUAAUGGAAGAAGAUUAAAAACCAGGUUCAAGAUCUCAGCCAUCAAUGACUAUGGUAUUUCGGCUGCAGCAGAUAUAGCCCAAGUGGAGGUCACCUGGCAAAUUAUUGUUGGAGCUAUAGCUGGUGUAACACCCUUCGUUGUAGCUGGGAUUGAGUUCAGCAAAAGAAUAUUUAACGUUGGUGUCCGGGCCAGCUUGCGCGCACCUCGACUAAUCUCAUGGGCCUUGAAGUUAACGAUCAUGUAAGCCUUCAGUGGCCAUCAUAUGAGCAACCACAGGGCUCGAACCUGAGACCACAAAGCGAGCAAACCUCUUGGUCCCAAGCUCUUACCACUGGACCACCAUCUAGAUGGUUGACAAGGACUAUUUUCGUUGCCCAGGAUGUGGAGGGUUUCUACCGUGGCAGACAUGGAAAAGAUUCUUCUCUGGUUAGUGUGUGUGUGUAUUUCGGUAUUCAUAUGUAUUUUCUUAUUUAUAUACACGAGGAGAGGUGUACUUUUACAUAUGUGAUACUUUUAGUCGAAGAUUGUUUUGAUUAUUUUUUAGUUUAAGUCAAUCAGAGUUUGACGGAGUAAUUUUAUGGAA